AUCGCUUCUCGGCCUUUUGGCUAAGAUCAAAUGUAGUAACAGUUGUAGCAUACAUCAGUAUUUCAUUCCUUUUUAGAGCUGAAUAACUUUUCAUUUUAUGGAUUAUAUUUUGUUUAACCUUCUUGCAUUGAUGGACAAUUGAGUUGUUUCC
rnacentral:snRNA from 1 species